CCACAGCUCCACUCUUUCAUCUGGACUUCUACGGAAGGUUCAACUUGAAGAAUGAGUUCUGCUUCUUAAAUAGUUAAAUCCAGCUUCUCAUUUUGUACAAGAUACCGAGGGUCACAAAGUUUCCAUAAUCUAUUCAAAAUCACAAUAGCCAGUGGCCAGGAUGGACCUAGAACACGGAUCUGUCUUUAGUCCAGUGCUCUUUACUUAUUUCACAAACUACUGGAUUCUGCAGUUUAGCCAGAACCAGCUAACUGUUUCCUUUAUCUGCAAAUGGCUGUUGUGAUGAUGAGGAAGCCAAUGCACAUACAGUACUGAGAGCAGUGUUUGUGCCUCUCUGCCAUGCCACCCUACCUUGGGACCAGCCAACUAUGGAGUGAAACCUCUAUAAACUGUGAGCUGAAAUAAACCUUUCUUCCUUUAACUUUGAGUGUUGGGUAUUUUGGCUCUGCAAUGAGAAAGUUAUUUGUGCUCAUCUUUCUAGUGCAUGGGUAUAGGCCAAAGCAGGUAAAAAUCAGAGAUUAGCCAGAGACCUGGUGGACAGCAGGUUUCAGGCAAAUAUGAUGUUAUGCUCCAUAGGUCUGAAAUUCAGGUGCUACUGUUGAUCCAGGCAGCUGAGCUUGAAUUCAGGGAACUUGAACAAGGCAGAAAGGAUCAAAUGGGGACCUGAGGUGAGGUAGGUGCAAGCUAGAGAGCCAACAAUAGACGGGGGACACUGCCCAUGAGUUUAAGUAAAGCAGAGGUAUGCUUUGUUCUGACAUCUUGGACCUUCUCUGUUCCCUGUGAUGGGCAAGAAUCC